GAUGAACGCUAGCUACAGGCUUAACACAUGCAAGUCGCGGGGCAGCAUGGGGAUUGCUUGCAAUCCCCGAUGGCGACCGGCGCACGGGUGAGUAACGCGUAUCCAACCUGCCCUUCACCACGGGAUAACCCGGCGAAAGUCGGACUAAUACCGUAUGUUGUCCAUUGACGGCAUCCGAUUUGGACGAAAGGCUUGGCGGUGAGGGAUGGGGAUGCGUCCGAUUAGCCAGACGGCGGGGUAACGGCCCACCGUGGCUACGAUCGGUAGGGGUUCUGAGAGGAAGGUCCCCCACACUGGAACUGAGACACGGUCCAGACUCCUACGGGAGGCAGCAGUGAGGAAUAUUGGUCAAUGGGCGUAAGCCUGAACCAGCCAAGUAGCGUGCAGGAUGACGGCCCUAUGGGUUGUAAACUGCUUUUAUGCGGGGAUAAAGUGGCCCACGUGUGGGCUUUUGCAGGUACCGCAUGAAUAAGGACCGGCUAAUUCCGUG
rnacentral:rRNA from 1 species